CCUACGGGUGGCAGCAGUGGGGGAUAUUGCACAAUGGGGGGAACCCUGAUGCAGCGACGCCGCGUGGGUGAAGAAGCGCCUCGGCGCGUAAAGCCCUGUCAGCAGGGAAGAAAAUGACGGUACCUGAAGAAGAAGCCCCGGCUAACUACGUGCCAGCAGCCGCGGUAAUACGUAGGGGGCAAGCGUUAUCCGGAUUUACUGGGUGUAAAGGGGGCGCAGACGGCGAUGCAAGCCAGGAGUGAAAGCCCGGGGCCCAACCCCGGGACUGCUCUUGGAACUGCGUGGCUUGAGUGCGGCGGAGGCAUGCGGAAUGCGCGGUGUAGCGGUGAAAUGCAUAGAUAUCGCGCAGAACCCCGAUUGCGAAGGCAGCGUGCCGUGCCGCCACUGACGCUGAGGCACGAAAGCGCGGGGAUCGAACAGGAUUAGAUACCCUAGUAGUC
rnacentral:rRNA from 1 species